rnacentral:rRNA from 1 species
UCCCAGACUCCUACGGGAGGCAGCAGUGAGGAAUAUUGGUCAAUGGGCGGGAGCCUGAACCAGCCAAGUCGCGUGAGGGAUGACGGCCCUAUGGGUUGUAAACCUCUUUUGCCGGGGAGCAAAGUGCCGCACGUGUGCGGUUUGGAGAGUACCCGGAGAAAAAGCAUCGGCUAACUCCGUGCCAGCAGCCGCGGUAAUACGGAGGAUGCGAGCGUUAUCCGGAUUUAUUGGGUUUAAAGGGUGCGUAGGCGGCAUUAUAAGUUAGUGGUAAAAUAUUGGGGCUUCACCUCACUACGCCAUUAAUACUGUAGAGCUAGAGAACAGACGAGGUAGGCGGAAUAAGUUAAGUAGCGGUGAAAUGCAUAGAUAUAACUUAGAACACCGAUAGCGAAGGCAGCUUACCAGACUGAGUCUGACGCUGAUGCACGGGAGCAUGGGUAGCGAACAGGAUUAGAUACCCUGGUAA